CCCAAGGAUUGUGGGUUAGCCACUAAUCCCCGUGGUACGAUAAACUUUGGGCUUAAUACUUCCCUAUCUUGACAAUGAUACGUAUGCUUGCGUAAAUGUGUAUCAAGUCAUGUACCUACACAUUGAAGCUUCUGUCUAGAACCCAAACACGUCGAAAGUGUAGUUCAGGUCAGUUGCUUCCACCUUCUUCAUCGUCUGAGGCCGUGCAAGGAGGUAUGAUUGCGAGUUCCUUUGAUAUCAACAACGUACCUCCUUGCCUACAAUGGCCAAUGCAGCAGCGAUGUUUUCCGUCACAGAUUCAAUUGUAGACAUGAGGUAAUGGGAUCAGAAGAGAGAUAAGGGUAGCUGGCGACACAAAACAGGUCAACAAUGAGGAACCGGCGACACAGAAUGAUCGAGAUGGGAUGCUAGGGUUUGGAUGCGGCAAGAGAGCCUCUAAGGUUUGUUAUUUAAAGCACGACAAGCUCUAGGAUUCAGAUUGCAAAUUGCGGAGAAGAGGUGGUUCAUCAUUCAAUGAAGAGAAGAGGCGAAUAACUCCUGAGUUAUUGGAUUGGCUGAGAAGACAACCUUCUCAGUUCUGCACAUAUAAACUGAAGAUUCGUCUGUUCUUCAUCAAAGGCUAAGUCAGAAGCUCAAAUCAAGCCCAAAGUCGCAACAACAAAUUCGAGCCAGAAGCUCAGGCCCAAGUUGCAAGGCUAGAACAGAAGCUCACCACAUGUUGCCAUGACAAAAGUUAUGAAUCUUC